rnacentral:rRNA from 1 species
AGAGUUUGAUCCUGGCUCAGGACGAACGCUGGCGGCGUGCCUAACACAUGCAAGUCGAACGAGAAUCUUUGAACAGAUCUUUUCGGAGUGACGUUCAAAGAGGAAAGUGGCGGACGGGCGAGUAACGCGUGAGUAACCUGCCCAUAAGAGGGGGAUAAUCCAUGGAAACGUGGACUAAUACCGCAUAUUGUAGUUAAGUUGCAUGACUUGAUUAUGAAAGAUUUAUCGCUUAUGGAUGGACUCGCGUCAGAUUAGAUAGUUGGUGAGGUAACGGCUCACCAAGUCGACGAUCGGUAGCCGGACUGAGAGGUUGAACGGCCACAUUGGGACUGAGACACGGCCCAGACUCCUACGGGAGGCAGCAGUGGGGAAUAUUGCGCAAUGGGGGCAACCCUGACGCAGCAACGCCGCGUGCAGGAAGAAGGUCUUCGGAUUGUAAACUGUUGUCGCAAGGGAAGAAGACAGUGACGGUACCUUGUGAGAAAGUCACGGCUAACUACGUGCCAGCAGCCGCGGUAAUACGUAGGUGACAAGCGUUGUCCGGAUUUACUGGGUGUAAAGGGCGCGUAGGCGGACUGUCAAGUCAGUCGUGAAAUACCGGGGCUUAACCCCGGGGCUGCGAUUGAAACUGACAGCCUUGAGUAUCGGAGAGGAAAGCGGAAUUCCUAGUGUAGCGGUGAAAUGCGUAGAUAUUAGGAGGAACACCAGUGGCGAAGGCGGCUUUCUGGACGACAACUGACGCUGAGGCGCGAAAGUGUGGGGAGCAAACAGGAUUAGAUACCCUGGUAGUCCACACCGUAAACGAUGAUUACUAGGU